rnacentral:rRNA from 1 species
GAGUUUGAUCGUGGCUCAGAUUGAACGCUGGCGGCAUGCCUUACACAUGCAAGUCGAACGGUAACAGGUCUUCGGAUGCUGACGAGUGGCGAACGGGUGAGUAAUACAUCGGAACGUGCCCGAUCGUGGGGGAUAACGAAGCGAAAGCUUUGCUAAUACCGCAUAAGAUCUACGGAUGAAAGCAGGGACCGCAAGGCCUUGCGCGAACGGAGCGGCCGAUGGUCAGAUUAGGUAGUUGGUGGGAUAAAAGCUUACCAAGCCGACGAUCUGUAGCUGGUCUGAGAGGACGACCAGCCACACUGGGACUGAGAC